GUGCAGAUCCACCUGACUUCUGUCACACCACACUCCACUUUAUUCCUAUGGGUGACCUCAAGCGACUUUAACGCGCCCGCAAAGCAUCGUGGGAAGGCGUCAAAAAAACUGGCUGUUGCCCAUCUUUAUGCAUAUGAAUCCAUUGAACGUGACACGACUAUCCAAUAAAAGUAGACGUAAAUCUUUCAAACUGACCUUUGUUGAUCUGAAAUGAAGACAGAUUCAGCAACUGCAUGGCCUAUUUCUCGCUUAAAAUGUUUUCAGAAAAGUUUUGAUUAAAUAUUUUCGUAAAAUACAGGAUUGUAUUACGAACAAGCCGCCAUUACUGUCAGCUGGAGAAGACAGA